UACGUAGGGGGCAAGCGUUGUCCGGAUUUACUGGGCGUAAAGCGCGCGUAGGUGGAACGAUCAGUCCGGUCUGAAAGCCCCCGGCUCAACCGGGGAGGGUGGCUGGAAACUGUCGUUCUUGAGGGCGAGAGAGGAGGGUGGAAUUCCGUGGUGUAGCGGGUGAAAUGACUGCAGAUAUCAGGAGGAACACCGGUGGCGAAGGCGGCUUGCUGGGCCAGUUCUGACGCUGAGGAGCGAAAGCGUGGGGAGCGAACAGG
rnacentral:rRNA from 1 species